GAUCUAAGACACUGUCUUAACUGUCAGCCCUGUUGAUCCGCCUUGGUUUAGUUGAUCUAGCUAGCUAGGCAGAUAGCCUCAUCUCUUACCAAGCCAAAUGCAUCCUUCUGGAAGCUGUUCACUCAGUUGAUAGUGGCUAAUCUUCCCAAUAGGGAAGGAUUUUUUUUUUUUUUUUCGGA
rnacentral:snRNA from 1 species